CAAUAGCGUAUAUUAAAGUUGUUGCAGUUAAAAAGCUCGUAGUUGGAUUUCUGGCAGGAGCGACCGGUCACACACUCUGUGUGUGAACUUGCGUUGUCUCUGGCCAUCCUUGGGAAGAUCCUGUUUGGCAUUAAGUUGUCGGGCAGGGGAUACCCAUCGUUUACUGUGAAAAAAUUAGAGUGUUUAAAGCAGGCUUAUGCCGUUGAAUAUAUUAGCAUGGAAUAAUAAGAUAGGACUUCGGAACUAUUUUGUUGGUUUGCGUUACGAAGUAAUGAUUAAUAGGGACAGUUGGGGGUAUUCGUAUUUCGUUGUCAGAGGUGAAAUUCUUGGAUUUCCGAAAGACGAACUACUGCGAAAGCAUUUACCAAGGAUGUUUUCAUUGA
rnacentral:rRNA from 1 species